UACGGAGGAUGCGAGCGUUAUCCGGAUUUAUUGGGUUUAAAGGGUGCGUAGGCGGCCUGCCAAGUCAGCGGUAAAAUUGCGGGGCUCAACCCCGUACAGCCGUUGAAACUGCCGGGCUCGAGUGGGCGAGAAGUAUGCGGAAUGCGUGGUGUAGCGGUGAAAUGCAUAGAAAUCACGCAGAACCCCGAUUGCGAAGGCAGCAUACCGGCGCCCUACUGACGCUGAGGCACGAAAGUGCGGGGAUCAAACAGG
rnacentral:rRNA from 1 species